GACGAACGCUGGCGGCGUGCUUAACACAUGCAAGUCGAACGAAGAGCGAUGGAAGCUUGCUUCUAUCAAUCUUAGUGGCGAACGGGUGAGUAACGCGUAAUCAACCUGCCCUUCAGAGGGGGACAACAGUUGGAAACGACUGCUAAUACCGCAUACGAUCUAACCUCGGCAUCGAGGAUAGAUGAAAGGUGGCCUCUACAUGUAAGCUAUCACUGAAGGAGGGGAUUGCGUCUGAUUAGCUAGUUGGAGGGGUAACGGCCCACCAAGGCGAUGAUCAGUAGCCGGUCUGAGAGGAUGAACGGCCACAUUGGGACUGAGACACGGCCCAGACUCCUACGGGAGGCAGCAGUGGGGAAUCUUCCGCAAUGGACGAAAGUCUGACGGAGCAACGCCGCGUGAGUGAUGACGGCCUUCGGGUUGUAAAGCUCUGUUAAUCGGGACGAAAGGCCUUCUUGCGAAGAGUGAGAAGGAUUGACGGUACCGGAAUAGAAAGCCACGGCUAACUACGU
rnacentral:rRNA from 1 species